rnacentral:rRNA from 1 species
CAGGGAAUAUUGCACAAUGGGCGCAAGCCUGAUGCAGCGACGCCGCGUGGGGGAUGAAUGCCUUCGGGUUGUAAACCCCUUUCAGGAGGGACGAAGCGAAAGUGACGGUACCUCCAGAAGAAGCCCCGGCCAACUACGUGCCAGCAGCCGCGGUAAUACGUAGGGGGCGAGCGUUGUCCGGAUUUAUUGGGCGUAAAGAGCUCGUAGGCGGCUCAACAAGUCGGCCGUGAAAGCCCGAGGCUCAACCUCGGGACGCCGGUCGAAACUGUUGUGGCUAGGGUCCGGUAGAGGAGAGUGGAAUUCCCGGUGUAGCGGUGAAAUGCGCAGAUAUCGGGAGGAACACCAGUAGCGAAGGCGGCUCUCUGGGCCGGCACCGACGCUGAGGAGCGAAAGCUAGGGGAGCAAACAGGAUUAGAUACCCCCGUAGUCC